GGAUGUGAGGGCGAUCUGGCUGCGACAUCUGUCACCCCAUUGAUCACCAGGGUUGAUUCGGUUGAUCUGGCUGGCUAGGUGGGUUUCCCCUUCCUCCCUCACCACUCCAUGUGUGUCCCUCCUGAAGCUGCACGCUCGGUGGAAGAGGAUGACAAUCCCAGAUAGAAGGAGUGUACCAUUUUUUGGUCAAGGGUAUAUGAUAGCUACACUCCCCUGCUAUAACCUCCAAACAAGCUCAAGGUCCAUCUCACUGGGAUCCAACAGGGCUCAGGUUGCUGGGUACUGCCCUGAUGAGUGACUAGGAUUUCAG